AUUGUAUAUAUAAGGUGAUAUUGUUAUCUUUUACUUUAAUUUAUGUGAUGCCCCCAGCAAUAUACACCACGUGGCCUGGGAUAUAGGCGUUGGCGUUACCUUCCUACUAAUUCUUGUUAAACUCAUACACCACAAAUGUCCGGUGCCAUGACACAUCGGGUAUGGCGCCUAUCUUCAGCCCAAAGGUUAUAGGUUCAAGGCUUGACGCUGGCAGAUGUAUGGAACAGAACAGCAGUGUUAAAAAGAUAAUUGUCCUGCCACAUAAGCAUAAAUGUGGUGGGGUGGGUAUCGCAUCCUCGCAGAGUUCCAGGGGGGUUUGGGGGGCAACAAUCUGAGCUUUCCUCAUGCCUAUACUUUACCAGACUUUGCCGCGUAAAACCUUAUUGUCUCCUCAGCUCCACGGAUGUUUGCUUGUUGCUUAUUUUAACAGUGGCGUUAAUAUUUGAUAUUUAUCUAAUAUCCCCACGGCUCUGCGGAUCUUUCUGUUCCUGUGAUUCCUAAUCUUGAGCAAGAAAACGCGUCGCUUCAAACUGUUAGUUUCUUGGGCCGGUACAAGUCUGGUCCAUCCACCACAGACAAUGCAAUACCGAGUUGCGCCACGUAAUACGUGCCCAUUAUUAUAAGGUUCUCGUGUCCAUAUGGUCCCCUGAAUUUAUUGAUUGCCAGCGCACUGUCCGACACCAUGAAACAAAAGCUCCAAUACAGCCCAUGAAUUCAUACCAACGACCUACAAAUAUAUCAAGUAAUAAAAUAUUAUUAUA